GGAGAGGUGGCCGAGUUGGUCGAAGGCGCUCCCCUGCUAAGGGAGUAUACGUCAAAAGCGUAUCGUGGGUUCGAAUCCCAUCUUCUCCGCCA
rnacentral:tRNA from 4 species